rnacentral:misc_RNA from 1 species
ACAAACUUGGUCAUUUAGAGGAAGUAAAAGUCGUAACAAGGUUUCCGUAGGUGAACCUGCGGAAGGAUCAUUAACAAGUGGACGUGGCUGUUGGCUGCUGUGCCUGCCGGAAGGCGGGUGGGGUGGCGGCAGCUGCAAAUCCAGAAAGUCCGUCGAACCAAAUUAUUACUCAAACCCAAAGUCUGAAAGAAACACAAAAAACAAAACGCAAAACUUUCAACAACGGAUCUCUUGGUUCUCGCAUCGAUGAAGAACGCAGC